GGCCCGAAAGCUCUAGAAUGCACCCCUAUUCCUCCCCGGGGCCAUUCCCGCUCAACGAGUUUUAUGACCUAAAAAACCCCACAGGCUGGUCUGAAGAGGAAGACACUUAAAGAUGAAGUGCUUAAUUCAAGGUCACAGAAUGUCGGGGAUGGACCUCCAGAUUUCCUUACUGGUGAGACGUGGUCUUGUAACACAGUGGUUAAGAAUGUGACUUUGGAGCCAGCCUGCUAGGGGCUGAAUUCUGACUCAGCCAUUUAUUAACUGUGUGACCUUAGGUCAUAGAAUUUUCCACACUCCUUGACGGAGGUUCUUAACCCUUAUCCAUCAGCAUUCUCAGACAGCACCUCCGGUUAGGGACAGUAUCUGACCGUCCGACAUCCCUGCAGCCCCCAUGCUGUCACACAGACUCAGCCUCAGGUAGAUGGUUUCCGUAGAUGGUGGCUUUCUUUGGACCCUUGAUAUCAACCAGUUACUAUUUGCCAGAGACAGACUCCCAGACUUGGCCAGAGGCUGAUGCCGACCCCUUCCAGCUCUCACGGUAACCAUGAGGCCCCUGCGUGUUUCUGUUGUGGAGGUCCCAGAGGGAACUGUGUGGACGGACACAGCCUGAAGGGCCAUCUGCCCCAAGCCACAGCAGCACAGGAUUCUAAAGACUGCGGGGAAGGAUGGGGCCAAGGGGACCAGAUGUGCAGAGGUAAUGAAUACCAGGGAAUCAGGAAACCACUGGAUCAGUUCUUUGAGCCAUAGAACAACACUCAUCCCAGCAGCUGGGAAGCUAUCUGCAAAAGUCCAUCUGCAGAAAGGGCUUCCUGGUCUUGCGUGUGGCUGGGCCAUUUCUCUGGAUGCAGGUUUUUCAUUAUACAGUCUUCUCAAAGGACCACCUGCUCUCAACACCUUCUCGGUGACUCCAUUUCCCCUCCUCU
rnacentral:antisense_RNA from 1 species